AGACCCGAAACCCGGUGAUCUAGCCAUGGGCAGGUUGAAGGUUGGGUAACACUAACUGGAGGACCGAACCGACUAAUGUUGAAAAAUUAGCGGAUGACCUGUGGCUGGGGGUGAAAGGCCAAUCAAACCGGGAGAUAGCUGGUUCUCCCCGAAAGCUAUUUAGGUAGCGCCUCGUGAAUUCAUCUCCGGGGGUAGAGCACUGUUUCGGCUAGGGGGCCAUCCCGGCUUACCAACCCGAUGCAAACUGCGAAUACCGGAGAAUGUUAUCACGGGAGACACACGGCGGGUGCUAACGUCCGUCGUGAAGAGGGAAACAACCCAGACCGCCAGCUAAGGUCCCAAAGUCAUGGUUAAGUGGGAAACGAUGUGGGAAGGCCCAGACAGCCAGGAUGUUGGCUUAGAAGCAGCCAUCAUUUAAAGAAAGCGUAAUAGCUCACUGGUCGAGUCGGCCUGCGCGGAAGAUGUAACGGGGCUAAACCAUGCACCGAAGCUGCGGCAGCGAACGUAUCACUUAAAGCGAUUCAGCGGGUUACGAUUGACGGAGCGAAGCGACGUCAAAGCGUAUACAAAGUCGAGUCGGUUUAAGGAUACGUUCGUUGGGUAGGGGAGCGUUCUGUAAGCCUGUGAAGGUGGCCUGUGAGGGUUGCUGGAGGUAUCAGAAGUGCGAAUGCUGACAUAAGUAACGAUAAAGCGGGUGAAAAGCCCGCUCGCCGGAAGACCAAGGGUUCCUGUCCAACGUUAAUCGGGGCAGGGUGAGUCGACCCCUAAGGCGAGGCCGAAAGGCGUAGUCGAUGGGAAACGGGUUAAUAUUCCCGUACUUGGUGUUACUGCGAAGGGGGGACGGAGAAGGCUAUG
rnacentral:rRNA from 1 species